AUGACAAGGUAUAAAAUGUGCCAUCUUACUAAACCUAUCUACAACAACAAAAAUAGCAUCAUGGCCCUUUUGUGACCUAGGCAAACCCAACACAAAAUCCAUAAAUAUAUCUACCCAUGGAUGCGUAGGCAUGGGCAAAGGUGUAUAUAGCCCAUGCGGCAUCACCUUGGACUUGGCUCUCUUGCAAGUCUCACACCUAGCACAAUAUCUUUCCACAUCUUUCCUCAUAUGUGGCCAA
rnacentral:misc_RNA from 1 species